UCUCUGACUGCAGUUUCAUAACAAACUUGUGACUCUUGGGGUCAACAAACUCCUCGGACAGAUGCAGGAAGGGAAGAUCAGUCACCAUGACGACCAGAGAAAAGUCUUGCCGUUUCAGAGAGAAGACCACGCCCUGACGGAGAAGCGCCGUCACAGGUUCCUCACUCACUAAUGUCCACUGGCGCCCCCGGCUGCUGCUGUCAUGGUACUGGAUGGUGGGACCAGGCUUGAGACCUCGCAUCUGCUGAGAGGGAGGAGGAGACGGGGGAGUCCCGCUGAGCUGCAAGAGGGAGAGGAGAAAAGAGGAGGAGGGAAACAGGCGACGCCGGCAUCCAGGACUUCCGGUAAUCAGACUUCAAAAUAAAACACCGUAGAUAGAGAGACAAUUUUUUAGCGUUUCAGGUGAUCAUAAUAAAAUAGGACAACAUGUAAAUUAACAUAGAUUAAUAAAUAUCACUACUACUGCUAUCAUUACAAGUAUUUUGACUUUUACUGUCGUUACUCCUGCUCCAUUAUUAUUCCAACUGCGUCCCUGCUAAUAUUACCGUUGAUAACAAUGUACUGUUAUCACAACUGUUAUUUUACUAUUGGGUUGUUUGUGAUGUUAUUACAAAUAUUAUGGCCGUUACUGUUACUACUGCUAUUUCUACCUAUUUUGCUUUAGUUGCAACUUGUAUUACCUUUGUCACUACUACUACUGCCAUUACGUUUACUACUUCUAUAACAACUAUUAUUAGUAGUAGUAGUACUAAUAUCAGUAGUGUGGGUUUCAGGUCCUUUUCCUACGCCAUGCCGUCAUUGUUUUCAUUUCACAGGAAUGUCUGAAUAUAUAAGAAUAUAAAAUGAUGAUAGAAAAAGAAAUGGGAAUAAACUAUUCCCUGUAAUUACUAAAGUAUUUUUUGUGAUUUUGUGAGUCAGAGAAACGCUGAUAAAUUAAAUAGAUGGGUUUCAACCAUGAAUAAUUCAUGUCAAAGCACAGAGAAGUGAACCACACUGUCAAGUUAAGAAAUGAUCAGUAUUAUAGUCAAAUCUUUAUUAUUGCACUGACUCUGCCUCAUGCCUGUAAACCUGUACCACGUUUUUGGUUUUUUGGAUAUUUGAAUUUUCUUCCCACCUUUCCUUUGGGUGGAAGUAGUAAAGAUAUGAAACAAGUGACAAAACCA